rnacentral:rRNA from 1 species
AGUCAAGCAACUAAGCGCAUACGGUGGAUGCCUUGGCAGUCAGAGGCGAUGAAAGACGUGGAAGCCUGCGAUAAGGCUCGGGGAGCUGGCAAACAAGCU